rnacentral:lncRNA from 1 species
CUGGGAAAGGAAGAGAGAGCCCCCAGAUCUCCAUAGAAAAUGGAAAGGAUGAUGGAAAGGCAGCCCUCGGUGGUGUGCAGGCUCUAUCUGGAGUUAGUGGAGAUAUCACUGCUGUGUUCUCAGUGCCUAGAACAGUGCUUGGCACACAACAAGAACUCGGUGCAUAUUUACUGAAUGAAAAAAUAUGGACAGUUCACAAAAAAGGAAAUGCAAGUGAAUUUUACUUUCAAAUGUAUAUACGAAGCUGUUUCAUUGUUUCUAAUGGUGCCAUGAAUUUCCACUGGAUACCAUGUGCUGGAGUUCAUUUAACUGGUCCCCUAUCGAUGAACAUUUAUGUUGUUUCCAAUAGUGUGCUAUUACAAACACUGUUGCAUUCAUGGGGAAAGAAUAAUCUGCUCAACAAUGGUAUUGGAAGAAUUGGAUAUUCAAAUACAAAAAACUGAACCUUGACUGCUACCUCAACAUAAUCAGAAAUUAACUUGUCAUGGAUCACAGAUCUAAAUGUCAAGCCUAAGGCUGUCAAACUUCCAGAAGAAAACAUGGGAGAAAAUCUUUGUGUCCUUGGCUCAGGCAGAGAUUUUUUAGAUAUGACACAAAAAACUUCAGCCAUAAAGGAACCAAAUGACAAACUGGACUUCAUCAAAAUUAAAAAUUUCAGCUCUUCAGAGGACACCAUUAAAAGAAUGAAAAGACAAGGCACAGAAAAUAUUUGCAAAGCACAUAGCUGACAAGGGACUUAUAUCCAGAAUACAUAAAGAACUCUCAAAAGUGUAUGGUAAGAAAAACAGCCCUCUCCAGGCAGCCUGGUCCCUCGAGGGGCUGCGGCUUGUGUUCUCUUAGAGACCUGCUGCAAACAGUUAUGUCAUUCAUUCAUGCAACAAAUAUUUGUUGAGCAUCUACUCUGGGCCAGACUUGAUUCAGGUGCU